UACAGAGGUGGCAAGCGUUGUUCGGAUUCACUGGGUGUAAAGGUCAUGUAGGCGUUUUGUUAAGUCGGGCGUGAAAUCCUAUGGCUCAACCAUAGAACUGCGCUCGAUACUGGCAGGAUUGAGUACGGGAGAGGUAAGCGGAAUUCCAGAAGUAAGGGUGAAAUCUGUAGAUAUCUGGAAGAACACCAUUAGCGAAGGCGGCUUACUGGUCCGAUACUGACGCUGAAAUGAGAAAGCUAGGGGAGCAAACAGGAUUAGAUACCCUGGUAGUCCUAGCCGUAAACGAUGGGCAUUGGGUGCUGGCUCGCAAGGGUCGGUGUCGUAGCUAACGCGUUAAAUGCCCCACCUGGGGACUACGGUCGCAAGGCUAAA
rnacentral:rRNA from 1 species